CUCAAUGAUGAACGACCUGAUAGGGACAUCCGAUGCAAAGCAGAUGAUGUUGCCAGGAAACGAGUAUUUUAGUAGAUGCCUCGCAUAUCUGAAA
rnacentral:snoRNA from 1 species